ensembl:lncRNA LINC02054 long intergenic non-protein coding RNA 2054
GGAAAUGGCACCAGGGAAGACCUUCAAAAGAAGGUUUUUUUUUUCCCCUCCCCUCCUCCAGAAAUAGAACUUUUUUUUUUCCGAGAUAGAGUCUUGCUCUGUCUUACCCACGCUGGAGUGCAGUGGCAAGAUCCUGGCUCACUGAAGCCUCCACCUCCCCAGUUCAAGCGAUUCUCCUGUCUCAGACUCCCGAGUAGCUGGGAUUACAGUGUUUGCUGCGCAUCAGGAUGUUUGGUGGACAUUCCAUUGUGGAUGGACCCUGGCUUCUUGCCCAACCGCUUAUGUUGGAAAUGCCCACCAGACUGGACCUCCCUGGAGACCAAACGCAGCCCAUCUUGGGAGCUGGCCAGUGCCACAUCCUCCCCCUCUUGCAGGGACCAGCUGAGUCAGUUGCUCCAUCUCGCACCUCUCAACACCUUCCUGUGUGGCACUGGACCACCUGUGGAAGCCCUGGCAUGCCUUGCUACCAUAGCUCGCAGAAGUUAUGGAGAAAAGGAGGCCCACACAGACUGAGAAAACACCAAGGCGAGGGCAUGGCUGGGAUCCCAGCGCAGGAUCCCCGUUCUUCUGCAGUCACAGUCUUGGCUGAACUGAGCCCUUUCCUCCCAGUGUUUGGCUUGGAUGCUAGACCAGGAACGCCAUGCUUAACAGCCUGUGCCAUUGGUCUGCAGGAGUUGGCAAUUCAGCUGCUGUGACUCUGCUGUCCAUCACCGUAACCAUGUUCACCUCGCCUGUGGCAGUGGAGUGCUGCCACUUGGUCCCUGCGCCCUGAGAUCCAUGACUCCCAUUACAUUUAAGUUUCCAAAUUCAGUGACUGCUUUAUGAAGACUGAGAAGUCCAAGAUCAAGGAGCCGGAUCUGGCGAGAGCCUUCUUGUUGGUGGGGACUCUUUGCAGAGUCCUGAGGUGGCACAGGGCAUCACAUGGUGAGGGGCUGAGUGUGCUAGCUCAGGUGUCUCUUCCUCUUCUUAUAAGGCCACCAGCCCCACUCCCAUGAUAACCCAUGAAUCCAUUCAUCCACAAAUGGAUUAAUCCAGUCAUAAGGGCAGAGCCUCAUGACCCAGUCACUUCUUAAAGGCCCCACCUCUCAACACUGUCAUUUGGAGAUUAAGUUUCAACAUGAGUUUAGGAGGGGAUUAACAUUCAAACCAUAGCAGCAGGGACUGUAACAAGUGAGCUGUCUCCAGGGCCAUGCCUGGCAGCCUCUAUUGGGAGCCUAUUUCUGUGCCCUCCCUUGCCGUGUGCAUCAGGUGAAUAGGGGUGAGGGAUGUCUAAUGUUGAAAGGGACCUGGGGUGGAGGAAUAGAUCACAGGUCAAGGGGAAGGGGAAAUUGGAGGGGAGAAAGCAUGUGUGUAGGUCUCUUCUGGGACCAGGUGAACAGCCAGCCAGAUGCUCAAGUCAGAAACUAGGGCAUCAUCCUGGGCUCCUCCC